CCAAUAAUCAAUAGAGUAGAUUUACUCAGUGAUCAUCUAAUGGCAUUGGAGGAAGCGAUACACACUGAUUUUAUCCUCAAACCUGAUAAUGUACCAUAAAUUCCCUAAGCAUAAAAGAUGUCUUAACCCAGUGGUAGAGUGCGUGACUUUUAAUUAGUUGGACUCGCGGAUAUGGCAAAGGGUUGUGAAACAUAGAAUCCAUACUCAA
rnacentral:lncRNA from 1 species